CCUACGCGAGGCAGCAGUGGGGAAUAUUGCACAAUGGGGGAAACCCUGAUGCAGCGACGCCGCGUGAGUGAAGAAGUAAUUCGUUAUGUAAAGCUCGAUCAGCAGGGAAGAAAAUGACGGUACAUGAGUAAGAAGCCCCGGCUAACUACGUGCCAGCAGCAGCGGUACUACGUAGGGGGCGAGCGUUAUCCGGAUUUACUGGGUGUAAAGGGAGCGUAGACGGCAGUGCAAGUCUGGAGGUAAAGGCGGGGGCCCAACCCCCGGACUGCUCUGGAAACUGUACGGCUUGAGUGCAGGAGAGGUUAGUGGAAUUCCUGGUGUAGCGGUGAAAUGCGUAGAUAUUAGGAGGAACACCAGUGGCGAAGGCAGCUUACUGGACUGUAACUGACGUUGAGGCUCGAAAGCGUGGGGAGUAAACAGGAUUAGAUACCCGGGUAGUC
rnacentral:rRNA from 1 species